AACGAACGCUGGCGGCAUGCCUAACACAUGCAAGUCGAACGGGACCUCCGGGCCUAGUUGCGCUCGGGUGGGGAACGCGGGGGAAGCUGCACUUAGGUACCGGAUCCUUCACCUUAGGGGGUGCUAAUGCAGGUUAAUUUAUUCCGACAAAGGAUUUACCGCGUUUGGGUGGGCCCGGGAUGGAUUAGCCGGUUGGUAGGGUAAAAGCCUACCAAGGCGACGAUCCAUAGCUGGGCUGAGAGGAAGAUCAGCCACACUGGGACUACGACACGGGCCAGAAUCCUAGGGGAGGCAGGAGUGGGGAAUAUUGUACAAUGGGGGAAAGCGUGAUACAGCAAUGCCGCGUGAGUCAUGAAGGCGUUAGGGUUGUAAAGCCGUUUUACACGGGACGAUAAUGACGGUACCGGGAGAAUAAGCACCGGCUAACUCCGUG
rnacentral:rRNA from 1 species